CAGAGGGAGAGAACAACAGCAUGAGGUGGCUGUGGCAUCACUUACACACAUGCAUAGCCCAGGAUGGAGUGUUACCUCUCCAGCUGAGGUACCCCUGGAUGGGAAGUGAGGAAUACAAACGAUGAAGAAAUGUUUAUCCGAAUGCAAAAGGAGACAGACCAUGGAAGACCUGAGAGCGUGAAGAAAAACCCAGAUGAAUGAAGGAAGAAAGAGAUAAUACUAAAGAUCUGGCACUGAUAGUUGAAAGACAGUAGUGGCUAAAUUACAGUAUAUGAGCCUACCCAGGAGCAGGCACACAGCAGAUCUGCAGGAUUUGUGCUCUUCUGAACUCUGGGCAAAAACUCUUAGGAACCAGAUUAGUAACAAGUUAUACUGAUGUUUGCAUAGGUUAUUCUCUCUACUCUGAGACAAGACUCGAAAGAUGUGGCUGUCUGCUAUGUAGCAGAGAAGAGGAAGUUUUGUGUGGCAACUGCAUCCUAAAACAAUCCCUGUCCAGGAAGAAUGUUCCAUUGAGUGCACGCAGGAGCAUCAGAGCUACUUUGUGUAAGCAGAAAGGUGGUACUGUGACAGCCAGAAGAAUGCAGGCUGUAAGUGCUCAGAGCUGUGUGCUUUCCAGCACACAUCCAUCCUUCAGGCCAGCCUGUCCUUGGAGGAGGCACAGUGACCCCAAGACCUGCUUGCCUUUCUGUGAUGCAAGCAGCAAGCUCACAUCCAUGUUGCUGCCUUCCCUAUACAGCUAUAAGACCAAAGUCCUGGUGUGGGUGAGUGGGUGAUU